rnacentral:rRNA from 1 species
AGUGAACGCUGGCGGUAGGCCUAACACAUGCAAGUCGAACGGCAGCACAGUAAGAGCUUGCUCUUACGGGUGGCGAGUGGCGGACGGGUGAGGAAUACAUCGGAAUCUACUUUUUCGUGGGGGAUAACGUAGGGAAACUUACGCUAAUACCGCAUACGACCUACGGGUGAAAGCAGGGGAUCUUCGGACCUUGCGCGAUUGAAUGAGCCGAUGUCGGAUUAGCUAGUUGGCGGGGUAAAGGCCCACCAAGGCGACGAUCCGUAGCUGGUCUGAGAGGAUGAUCAGCCACACUGGACCUGAGACACGGUCCAGACUCCUACGGGAGGCAGCAGUGGGGAAUAUUGGACAAUGGGCGCAAGCCUGAUCCAGCCAUACCGCGUGGGUGAAGAAGGCCUCGGGUUGUAAAGCCCUUUUGUUGGGAAAGAAAAGCAGCAGGUUAAUACCCCGCUGUUCUGACGGUACCCAAAGAAUAAGCACCGGCUAACUUCGUG